CAGGUCACUCGGCACCCACACCUCAGGGCAGGCAUCCUCUAGACAGGCCAUGCUGCGGAGCAGAAAGAAAGAGAUUUUGUUUUUUAAAAUAGUGUGCGUUGUUGUUCAGUUGCUAAGUCAUGUCCGGCUCUUUGCGACCCCAUGGGCUGCAGCACGCCAGGCCUCCCUGUCCCUCACUACCUCCUGGAGUUUGCCCAAGUUCAUGUCCAUUGAGUCGGUGAUGCUAUCCAGCCACCAAUAAACAAUUCCAAUAUAUGGGCAGAUAUAGGAGAUUUCUUUUCCUCUUUGUGACCUGCUUCAACAGAUCAGAGUUUUGGAUGAUGAAUCCAGCACCGUCUGAAAGGUUAUAGUGAUGGCCUGGGAGAAAUGGAUGAUGGCAUGAUCUUUCCAGACCCGUGACAGAGUAAAGGAAAGACAGGCAAGAAGAAAGAACGUGUUUUAUGUUUAGCUCAAGUACAAAGUCUCUAUCUGGCAUCUUGGGAGGAAACAGUCCGCCGCAGUGUCAGCUACAUCUCUUCCCAGUCAAUUUGAUCCGGAGGUCUCUAGCAUUUUCACAGGAUCAGAUGCCAGGCAGGGCCAUUUCAGCUGUGAAAUGUGUGUCCAAGUUUCCAGUGCCUGAAGUUUGGCUGCCAUCCAGAUGGAGAUGCGGGAGAGCUGAUUCGGAUCGGCUGACGGGACAUGACAGAGUCUGCUUGAUGAUGGGGUUUCUGACAAGACAGAGAUGGGAAGCCUCCUCUCCCAGCUUUGGAUGUGGUUGUACAAAUGAUGAUGGAGCUCUGGCCACCACUGUGCAAACACCGACAUGCUGAGGACAGCAGGACAGCAAGGUAUUCCUUACUGCUCUUGAGAGUCCCUUGGACAGCAGGGAGAUCAAACCAGUCAGUCCUAAAGGAAAUCAACCCUGAAUACUCAUUGGAAGGACUGAGGCUGAAGCUGAAGCUCCAAUACUUUGGCCACCUGAUGCGAAGAGCCGACUCAUUGGAAAAACACCCUGAUGCUGGGCAAGACUGAGGGCAGGAGAAGGGGGUGACAGAGGAUGAGAUGGUUGGAUGGCAUCACAGAUUCAGUGGACAUGAACUUGGGAAAACUCUGGGAGAUGGUGAGGGACAGGGGGGCCUGGCGUGCUGCAGUCCAUGGGGUCGCAGAGUCAACACAACCUGGCAACUGAACCACAACUGCUCCUACACCGGCACCUUUGUGUUUGACGUUCCUUCUCCCUAGAAUGCCUCCCACUCGCUCUCCAGACCUCUGCAUGGCCCUCUGUCAGCCCUUUUCAGGUCUUCAUUCAGAUGACACUCUAAAUCCUCUCUGCAUAAAAGUGCACCCCAGAACUUCCCUGGUGGUUCAG
ensembl:lncRNA